rnacentral:rRNA from 1 species
CCUACGGGAGGCAGCAGUGGGGAAUAUUGGACAAUGGGGGCAACCCUGAUCCAGCCAUGCCGCGUGUGUGAAGAAGGCCCUCGGGUUGUAAAGCACUUUCAGUGAGGAAGAACGCCUGGUGGUUAAUACCCAUCAGGAAAGACAUCACUCACAGAAGAAGCACCGGCUAACUCCGUGCCAGCAGCCGCGGUAAUACGGAGGGUGCGAGCGUUAAUCGGAAUUACUGGGCGUAAAGCGCGCGUAGGUGGCUUGAUAAGCCGGUUGUGAAAGCCCCGGGCUCACCCUGGGAACGGCAUCCGGAACUGUCAAGCUAGGGUGCAGGAGAGGAAGGUAGAAUUCCCGGUGUAGCGGUGAAAUGCGUAGAGAUCGGGAGGAAUACCAGUGGCGAAGGCGGCCUUCUGGACUGACACUGACACUGAGGUGCGAAAGCGUGGGUAGCAAACAGGAUUAGAUACCAUUGUAGUC